rnacentral:lncRNA from 10 species
UGGGCAAGUUCCAGUGUGAGAAGCCAGCUGGUAAAUAAAUAUAUGGCUGAUACCCAAUACAGUGACCACAGGCGCAACAAUUAAGGAUGAUCACUGAAUUUCUAUAUCUCAGUGCGACACGAUAGCUAUUAACAAUCACUUUAAAUUCUAAUUUUUUAUCAGAUUUAGAUUUAUGAGGUAUGGAAUACUCCUCUGUUCAAAUAUUUAUUAAUGCUUACUAUAAGCCUCGUGAAAGUGAAACAUCCUACUAAACUCUGUAUGAACCAACUACACACCCUUCUAUCAGUCCUUGCUUACAACACCUCAAAUCCCCUGCCCAACUGUGCCAGAUUCUCUGCAAGACUUACAGUAAAUAAAACCUAGCGAUACACUGAGCCACAUGAUAAAGUCACAAGCUCUUCGCCCAGAAAGAUUGAGCGUAAUUCCUUAAAUUAAGGUGAUUUGGAGCCAGGUGCCUGGGCAACAGAGGAAGACUUAAAAAAAAAAAAAAAAAAAAAAAAGGUUAUUUGGUUAAAAAUAGCGGAACUUCUAGGGAACUAAUUUAAACUGAAAGUGGGAUUUAUAAUAAAGAUACUGGCUUAUCUCAUUGGACACAAGCACAGGAAUGCAGCCAGCCCUCAGGCAGAGACUGAAAUAAAGAAGUAGAAGGAGCACCCCACUGCAUUUCAUUUCUGCUUCUCUCUGUGCACUUGCCCCUUCUGCCUGCAAGCUGAAUUUUUCUGUUCUUCAAAACACAAGAUGAAGCUGGGUGUGGUUCCUCAUGCCUG